GACGAACGUUGGCGGCGUGCUUAAUACAUGCAAGUCCACUGAAGCAGUGGUAGCAAUAUCGCUGUGGAGGUGGCGCACGGGUGAGUAACACGUAGGUAAUCUGCCUUCAGGUCUGGCAUAACUCCGGGAAACCGGGGCUAAUAGCAGAUGAUGCAGCGGCUCGACAUCGAGACAGUUGUUAAAGCUAUGGCGCCUGAAGAUGAGCCUGCGUCUGAUUAGCUAGUUGGCGGGGUAACGGCCCACCAAGGCAACGAUCAGUAGCUGGUCUGAGAGGAUGAUCAGCCACACUGGAACUGAGACACGGUCCAGACUCCUACGGGAGGCAGCAGUAAGGAAUAUUGCUCAAUGGGAGAAAUCCUGAAGCAGCAACGCUGCGUGAGGGACGAAGGGCUUUUGCUUGUAAACCUCUGUAGUGAGAGAAAAAAAUCCCAAUCUUUGGGACAUGAUGGUAUCUCAAAAGUAAGCCCCGGCUAACCACGUG
rnacentral:rRNA from 1 species